rnacentral:lncRNA from 1 species
UGACGAAGAAAACGAGUUUGGACUCGUUAUUAAGAGGUUCAAAAAGUUCAUACGCAAGGAGUAUGAACGAAAAGGGAAGCGGCUAGGCGGCCCACUAAAAUGCUACGGAUGCGGGGAACUUGGACACAUCAAACCAAACUGUCCAAAUGUAAAGAAGGAGAAGAAGCCCGAGAAGAAGCAACGGGCAUACAUCUCGUGGGCAGGCCACUCAGGAGACGAGUCAAGCGACGGAGAAGAAGAAACUGCAAACUUGUGUCUUAUGGCACAUGAAGAACCGCAUAACGAGGUAAGUAGCAAUUCUAAAAAUAUUUUUUCUUUAGAAGAAAUGCGAGAUGCCUUUGAUGAGCUUUACGUUGAAUUUAUUAAUGCUUCAAUAAUUAUAAAAGAUUUGAGAAAUCAACUUUCUGUAAAAGAAAAAGAUAUUGAAAAAUUAAAUCUGGA